rnacentral:rRNA from 1 species
AUUAGACGAAUCAUCUGGAAAGAUGAAUCAAAGAAGGUAAUAAUCCUGUAGUCGAAAAUGUUGUCUCUCUUGAGUGGAUCCUGAGUACGACGGAGCACGUGAAAUUCCGUCGGAAUCUGGGAGGACCAUCUCCUAAGGCUAAAUACUCUCUAGUGACCGAUAGUGAACCAGUACCGUGAGGGAAAGGUGAAAAGCACCCCGGAAGGGGAGUGAAAUAGAACCUGAAACCGUGUGCUUACAAGUAGUCAGAGCCCGUUAAUGGGUGAUGGCGUGCCUUUUGUAGAAUGAACCGGCGAGUUACGAUUUGAUGCAAGGUUAAGCAGUAAAUGUGGAGCCGUAGCGAAAGCGAGUCUGAAUAGGGCGUUUAGUAUUUGGUCGUAGACCCGAAACCAGGUGAUCUACCCUUGGUCAGGUUGAAGUUCAGGUAACACUGAAUGGAGGACCGAACCGACUUACGUUGAAAAGUGAGCGGAUGAACUGAGGGUAGCGGAGAAAUUCCAAUCGAACCUGGAGAUAGCUGGUUCUCUCCGAAAUAGCUUUAGGGCUAGCCUCAAGUGAUGAUUAUUGGAGGUAGAGCACUGUUUGGACGAGGGGCCCCUCUCGGGUUACCGAAUUCAGACAAACUCCGAAUGCCAAUUAAUUUAACUUGGGAGUCAGAACAUGGGUGAUAAGGUCCGUGUUCGAAAGGGAAACAGCCCAGACCACCAGCUAAGGUCCCAAAAUAUAUGUUAAGUGGAAAAGGAUGUGGCGUUGCCCAGACAACUAGGAUGUUGGCUUAGAAGCAGCCAUCAUUUAAAGAGUGCGUAAUAGCUCACUAGUCGAGUGACACUGCGCCGAAAAUGUACCGGGGCUAAACAUAUUACCGAAGCUGUGGAUUGUCCUUUGGACAAUGGUAGGAGAGCGUUCUAAGGGCGUUGAAGCAUGAUCGUAAGGACAUGUGGAGCGCUUAGAAGUGAGAAUGCCGGUGUGAGUAGCGAAAGACGGGUGAGAAUCCCGUCCACCGAUUGACUAAGGUUUCCAGAGGAAGGCUCGUCCGCUCUGGGUUAGUCGGGUCCUAAGCUGAGGCCGACAGGCGUAGGCGAUGGAUAACAGGUUGAUAUUCCUGUACCACCUAUAAUCGUUUUAAUCGAUGGGGGGACGCAGUAGGAUAGGCGAAGCGUGCGAUUGGAUUGCACGUCUAAGCAGUAAGGCUGAGUAUUAGGCAAAUCCGGUACUCGUUAAGGCUGAGCUGUGAUGGGGAGAAGACAUUGAGUCUUCGAGUCGUUGAUUUCACACUGCCGA